UACAGAGGGUGCAAGCGUUGCUCGGAAUCAUUGGGCGUAAAGGGCAAGUAGGUGGUCUCAUUUGUCUAGGGUGAAAUCCUUGAGCUUAACUCAAGAAGUGCCCUAGAAACGGUGGGACUAGAGUUCUGGAGAGGGUCGUGGAAUUCCCGGUGUAGCGGUGAAAUGCGUAGAGAUCGGGAAGAACAUCGGUGGCGAAAGCGCUCUACUGGACCGCAACUGACACUCAGGGACGAAAGCUAGGGGAGCGAAUGGG
rnacentral:rRNA from 1 species